rnacentral:rRNA from 1 species
UACGUGGGGACCGAGCGUUGUCCGGAGUUACUGGGCGUAAAGGGCGUGCAGGUGGCUCGCUAAGCUUGGCGUGAAAGCCCCCGGCCCAACCGGGGAGGGUCGUCGAGGACUGGCGGGCUUGAGGGGCGCAGGGGUCGGUGGAAUUCCGGGUGUAGUGGUGAAAUGCGUAGAGAUCCGGAGGAACACCAGGGGCGAAGGCGGCCGACUGGGCGCACCCUGACACUGAGACGCGAAGGCGUGGGGAGCAAACAGG